rnacentral:ncRNA from 2 species
UGACCAUCCAGAGCAACCGAGAGACCUGGCUCGACGACGUUGCAGCAACCCCCGCUCAUGCGGUGAGGGUGCUUCCGCCAGGACCGAUGGAGG